UCCGUAGGUGAACCUGCGGAAGGAUCAUUACAUUAUGUGCUUCUAUAGCCUUGUCGGGUGGCUAUUCUUGCAAUAGCCCCUGCCUGAAUCCGUGUCUUUUGUGUACUACAUGUUUCCUUGGUAGGCUUGCCUGCCAGUUGGACCACAUAUAACCAUUUGCAAUUGCAAUCAGCGUCUGAAAACCAUAAUAAUUACAACUUUCAACAACGGAUCUCUUGGUUCUGGCAUCGAUGAAGAACGCAGCGAAAUGCGAUAAGUAGUGUGAAUUGCAGAAUUCAGUGAAUCAUCGAAUCUUUGAACGCACAUUGCGCCCCUUGGUAUUCCAUGGGGCAUGCCUGUUCGAGCGUCAUUUGUACCCUCAAGCUUUGCUUGGUGUUGGGUGCUUGUCCUUUCCUUGUGUAUGGACUCGCCCUAAAGUCAUUGGCAGCCGGCAUAUUGGCCUUGGAGCGCAGCACAAUUUGCGUUUCUUGUCAGUAAAUGCUGGUAUCCAUUAAGCCCUUUAUCACUUUUGACCUCGGAUCAGGUAGGGAUACCCGCUGAACUUAA
rnacentral:rRNA from 1 species